GCCAGUUAACAAAAGAACGCAUUUGAAAUGUUCGAACGUAAUCCGUAGGAAUAUCGGCCGGGAAGAGGAGAAAAUAGCCGAAUCUCCGUUCUCCGUUGUGAUUGUGUAACAUUAGGGGUACGAAAUUGUAACAACUACGAUGGCCCGCAGACAAUGAAGUUUGCUUGGGAACGAUCACAACGUUACGAAGAACCAAAUGACUCAUCGAUGGAAGCGCCCCCGGUGUGUCAACGAUCAUCGUUAAAACCAUCGAACGUAACGGAGACACAGGACAAUUCCGAAGCCGAAGAUUCUCGCGGAUAGACUUUUCUUUCUUUCUACGAACUUUCUCUCUUUUUUUUGUUUGUUUCCCUUUCUCUCCCACCCUUUCUUUCUACCUCGUUCUCUCUGUUGAUCACUCUCUCUCUCUUUCUCUCUCUCCC